UACAGAGGGGGCAAGCGUUGUUCGGAAUUACUGGGCGUAAAGGGCGCGUAGGCGGCCUUCUAAGUCGAACGUGAAAUCCCCAGGCUUAACCUGGGAACUGCGUCUGAUACUGGAUGGCUUGAAUCCGGGAGAGGGAUGCAGAAUUCCAGGUGUAGCGGUGAAAUGCGUAGAUAUCUGGAGGAAUACCGGUGGCGAAGGCGGCAUCCUGGACCGGCAUUGACGCUGAGGAGCGAAAGCUAGGGGAGCAAACGGG
rnacentral:rRNA from 1 species